UACGGGGGGGGCAAGCGUUGUUCGGAAUUACUGGGCGUAAAGGGCUCGUAGGCGGCCAACUAAGUCGGAUGUGAAAUCCCCAGGCUCAACUUGGGAACUGCAUCCGAUACUGGAUGGCUUGAAUUCGGGAGAGGGAUGCGGAAUUCCAGGUGUAGCGGUGAAAUGCGUAGAUAUCUGGAGGAACACCGGUGGCGAAGGCGGCAUCCUGGACCAAUAUUGACGCUGAGGAGCGAAAGCCAGGGGAGCAAACGGG
rnacentral:rRNA from 1 species